UACAGAGGGUGCGAGCGUUAAUCGGAAUUACUGGGCGUAAAGCGCACGUAGGUGGCGACGUAUGUCGGGUGUGAAAGCCCCGGGCUCAACCUGGGAAUUGCAUCCGAAACUGCGUUGCUGGAGUACGGAAGAGGAAGGCGGAAUUCCUGGUGUAGCGGUGAAAUGCACAGAUAUCAGGAGGAACACCGGCGGCGAAGGCGGGUCUCUGGGCCGACACUGACGCUGAGGAGCGAAAGCGUGGGGAGCGAACAGG
rnacentral:rRNA from 1 species